rnacentral:rRNA from 1 species
UGAGGAAUAUUGGACAAUGGGCGAAAGCCUGAUCCAGCGACGCCGCGUGAGUGAAGAAGGCCUUAGGGUUGUAAAGCUCUUUCAGUGGGAAAGAUAAUGACGGUACCCACAGAAGAAGCCCCGGCUAACUUCGUGCCAGCAGCCGCGGUAAUACGAAGGGGGCUAGCGUUACUCGGAAUUAUUGGGCGUAAAGCGUGCGUAGGCGGCUUAGUAAGUUGGAAGUGAAAGCCCAGGGCUCAACCUUGGAAUUGCUUUCAAAACUACUAAGCUAGAGUGUCAGAGAGGAUAGCGGAAUUCCUAGUGUAGAGGUGAAAUUCGUAGAUAUUAGGAGGAACACCGGAGGCGUAAGCGGCUAUCUGGCUGAAUACUGACGCUGUUGCACGAAAGCGUGGGUAGCAAACAGG